AGCAAAGGCUUUAAAUCAUUACCAAAACUAAUUCCAAGGAAAGGGGAAUGGUGGAGAAAAAGGAAAAUUUAUUCCAAUAUUCUUCAAAUAUGGCAACAUCAACUGCAGUAUUAAAACUAAAGAAAAAGGAAAGUGUGCAAACUAUGCCCCAUUAAUUUUCUCGGUGGUUGUUUCAUUAUCUUGGCGGACAACGAUUUUUUCAUUUUUAUUUUUAUCUGGGACGGAAUUGAUUAAUGUGAAGAAUUUGAAUUAAGUACUUAAAAAUUAAGAAUGAACAAAUAGGAUAAUUGCAUGUUUCAUAUAAGAAAGGAUAAUUGUAUUUCGACCAAUAAAUUAAGCAAACUUAUUGGUUACUCGUAUGUGGUUUGACUUUACCCUAGUGUAGUAAAAAAGAAAUCAACACUCCCGAAAUUAAGCACUCUAAACAGCCAGGCGGAAUUGAUAAAUUUGAUCCCACAAUAAACAGUGGUCUAAAUAUUAGUCUGUUACUUCCACACUCCCCUUACCCCAUCCCACAAAUAAGUUUAAAGUAACAUAAGUAGUCCUCCGAGGCAUAACUAAGUGGUGCAAAGGACAGAAGUUAGAUAGUUUCAGAUAGUUUCAGUUUUGCUAAUAACCGCAGUAUGAGGGUUUUGAGAUAUGCAAUUGAACUUUUUGUGGGCACUAGUGUACGGACAAGUUCUUGUUCCUUGACCUGUUGGGGCACAUCCCGCGAUUUACCUCCCUCAUGAUGCUCCAGGAGCGGGACGGUGAGGGCCCUCAAGGUUGGAGUUCAACCUUUUUAAAGUAGCAUAAGUAACUUAAUAACAUAGUAAAAUGUGGCAGAGCAAGUGAAAGAGAUAUAGUGGAUCUAGGUAGAAUCUUUUAAACCGUGGAAAAUUGGUAGAUAUUUUAAAACUAAG
rnacentral:lncRNA from 1 species